AACGAACGCUGGCGGCAUGCCUAACACAUGCAAGUCGAACGAGAUCUUCGGGUCUAGUGGCGCACGGGUGCGUAACGCGUGGGAACCUGCCCUUAGGUUCGGAAUAACUCCCCGAAAGGGGUGCUAAUACCGGAUAAUGUCUUCGGACCAAAGAUUUAUCGCCUUUGGAUGGGCCCGCGUUGGAUUAGCUAGUUGGUAGGGUAAAAGCCUACCAAGGCGACGAUCCAUAGCUGGUCUGAGAGGAUGAUCAGCCACACUGGGACUGAGACACGGCCCAGACUCCUACGGGAGGCAGCAGUGGGGAAUAUUGGACAAUGGGCGAAAGCCUGAUCCAGCAAUGCCGCGUGAGUGAUGAAGGCCUUAGGGUUGUAAAGCUCUUUUACCCGGGAUGAUAAUGACAGUACCGGGAGAAUAAGCGCCGGCUAACUCCGUG
rnacentral:rRNA from 1 species